UUUUUCUAUUAAAAAAAAAAAUCUUGCUUUGUUUACCUAGAAGGGUAUAGGUGGAGCAGUAUAGAGAUUAUAACCUUCAUGAUUGAAGUUCCUUGUCCAAAUUUUAAUAAUGCUAGUUGAAGAUAAUAUAGUUAACUCAGAAAAGCCUUGCCUUGACUGAUUACAUAUACAUAACAUCUGUUUUAUGAUCCUAACAUACAUAAUAAGUAUCUCAAGCAACUUCUGUACUGUCCUUG
rnacentral:misc_RNA from 1 species